rnacentral:misc_RNA from 1 species
UACGUAGGGGGCAAGCGUUGUCCGGAAUUAUUGGGCGUAAAGCGCGCGCAGGCGGCCUCUUAAGUCUGAUGUGAAAGCCCCCGGCUCAACCGUGGAGGGUCAUUGGAAACUGGGAGGCUUGAGUAUAGGAGAGGAGAGUGGAAUUCCACGUGUAGCGGUGAAAUGCGUAGAGAUGUGGAGGAACACCAGUGGCGAAGGCGACUCUCUGGUCUAUAACUGACGCUGAGGCCCGAAAGCGUGGGGAGCAAACGGG